rnacentral:rRNA from 1 species
GUGAGGAAUCUUGCGCAAUGGGGGCAACCCUGACGCAGCAACGCCGCGUGAGUGAGGAAGGUCUUCGGAUCGUAAAGCUCUGUCGGAUGGGAAGAAAUGCAUGGAAGCCAAUACCUUUCAUGUUUGACGGUACCAUCAAAGGAAGCACCGGCUAACUCCGUGCCAGCAGCCGCGGUAAUACGGGGGGUGCAAGCGUUGUUCGGAAUCAUUGGGCGUAAAGGGCGUGUAGGCGGCUAGAUAAGUCGGAUGUGAAAUCCCUGGGCUUAACCCAGGACGUGCAUUCGAAACUGUUUGGCUUGAGUAGGGGAGAGGAAAGUGGAAUUCCUGGUGUAGAGGUGAAAUUCGUAGAUAUCAGGAGGAACACCGGUGGCGAAGGCGACUUUCUGGCCCUAUACUGACGCUGAGACGCGAAAGCGUGGGUAGCAAACAGGAUUAGAUACCCCAGUAGUCC